UGCUGCUUGACGGAGCGCAGUUAAUCAACUGCUGAGAUCAUAAUAAUCACAUGAUUUAAAUAUGAGUACCGUUGAACCUGAUCAGGUUAACACCUGCGUAGGAAUCAAGCCCAGCAAAAAC
rnacentral:ncRNA from 2 species